GGGGGCGUCAUGGUUUCGACGUGUUUGGUGAACGUGGGGCAGCGUGCCGAGGACUCCGGUGCCUCGUUAAAAAACUGGAAAAUGUUUAGUUGCCAACACUGACAUGGCACUGGCUGCUUAAGGUCAAUCCUUAACAGUCCGUCUCCUGGAUCGCCCGCCCGAGGCGGUCCUUGCAGACGUCGAUAAUUCGGGCUGGUUCCCCGGUCAUGCCGCCGGAUCGGGGGACGAGACACUCAGGUGGCUGGUCUCGGGGUCGGUCGAUCGCUGGCCGUCUGAGACGAGAUUUUCAGCGAUCUACGCACGUAGCGGC
rnacentral:tmRNA from 1 species